rnacentral:sRNA from 1 species
CGGCGAUGAUCUGCGGGCAGAUCAGGUGGACGUGACAGUCGACGGUUCCGGCAGUGACGAUUCGGCCGUUGCCGCCGACGACUUCGGUGGAGGGCCCGACCACCAAAUCCCGGUGCACGCCCGUCAUGAUGUCGGGGUUGCCGGCCUUUCCGAUCCCGACGAUGCGGCCGUCGCGAAUCCCGAUGUCGGCCUUGAUGAUUCCCCAGUAGUCGAUGAUCACGGCGCCGGUGAUCACCGUGUCGGGCGCGCCUUCGGCGCGGCUGGCGCGUCCCUGGCCCAUCGACUCG